GCCGGCCUAGCUCAAUUGGUAGAGCAUCUGACUUGUAAUCAGUAGGUUGGGGGUUCAAGUCCUCUGGCCGGCACCA
rnacentral:tRNA from 2 species